rnacentral:rRNA from 1 species
ACCUAGCGGCGAAUGGGUGAGUAACACGUGCUUAAUCUACCCUUCAGAUUGGAAUACCCAAUGGAAACAUUGGCUAAUGCCGGAUACGCAUGGAAUCGCAUGAUUCCGUUGUGAAAGGGGCCUCAAAGCCCCCACUGAAGGAUGAGGGUGCGGAACAUUAGUUAGUUGGUAGGGUAAUGGCCUACCAAGACUAUGAUGUUUAGCCGGGUCGAGAGACUGAACGGCCACAUUGGGACUGAGAUACGGCCCAAACUCCUACGGGAGGCAGCAGUAGGGAAUAUUCCACAAUGAGCGAAAGCUUGAUGGAGCGACACAGCGUGCACGAUGAAGGUCUUCGGAUUGUAAAGUGCUGUUAUAAGGGAAGAACACUCAGAGGAGGAAAUGCCUUUGAGCUGACGGUACCUUGUCAGAAAGCGAUGGCUAACUAUGUGCCAGCAGCCGCGGUAAUACAUAGGUCGCAAGCGUUAUCCGGAAUUAUUGGGCGUAAAGCGUUCGUAGGCUGUUUAUUAAGUCUGGAGUCAAAUCCCGGGGCUCAACCCCGGCUCGCUUUGGAUACUGAUAAACUAGAGUUGGAUAGAGGUAAGCGGAAUUCCAUGUGAAGCGGUGAAAUGCGUAGAUAUAUGGAAGAACACCAAAGGCGAAGGCAGCUUACUGGGUCUAUACUGACGCUGAGGGACGAAAGCGUGGGGAGCAAACAGGAUUAGAUACCCUGGUAGUCCACGCCGUAAACGAUGAUCAUUAGUCGGUGGAGAGUUCACUGACGCAGCUAACGCAUUAAAUGAUCCGCCUGAGUAGUAUGCUCGCAAGAGUGAAACUUAAAGGAAUUGACGGGGACCCGCACAAGCGGUGGAGCAUGUGGUUUAAUUUGAAGAUACACGGAGAACCUUACCCACUCUUGACAUCUUCCGCAAAGCUA